rnacentral:rRNA from 1 species
AUUGAACGCUGGCGGCAUGCCUUACACAUGCAAGUCGAACGGCAGCACGGGAGCAAUCCUGGUGGCGAGUGGCGAACGGGUGAGUAAUAUAUCGGAACGUGCCCAGUCGUGGGGGAUAACGUAGCGAAAGCUACGCUAAUACCGCAUACGAUCUAUGGAUGAAAGCGGGGGAUCGCAAGACCUCGCGCGAUUGGAGCGGCCGAUAUCAGAUAGGUAGUUGGUGAGGUAAAGGCCAACCAAGCCGACGAUCUGUAGCUGGUCUGAGAGGACGAGAAGCCACACUGGGACUGAGACACGGCCCAGAAUCCUACGGGAGGCAGCAGUGGGGAAUUUUGGACAAUGGGCGCAAGCCUGAUCCAGCAAUGCCGCGUGCAGGAUGAAGGCCUUCGGGUUGUAAACUGCUUUUGUACGGAACGAAACGGCGAGCUCUAAUACAGUUUGCUAAUGACGGUACCGUAAGAAUAAGCACCGGCUAACUACGUGCCAGCCGCCGCCGUAA